rnacentral:lncRNA from 1 species
GCAGAUAUUCUUUCACAUACGAGAUGUAGUGUUGGUUGUCAAUUAAUGCCAAAAGCAACUCAGCACCAGCAACAAGUUUCACCAUUCCGAUUCGAGCUUUCUCCUCCAAAUACACCCAUGUGGAUAGGGGUGCAGUAGAACCACCGGCAUCUGGACUGCCAAAUUGCAAUUGUGUUUGACAGCCUGGAAUAAGUCCGUGCUUG